GUCCACCACAGCUAUACCAGAGAUUUUUUUUUUCCUAGUUUCUACAGGUUCUCAUGUUCAUGAUUAAAUAUCCUUAUUGCAUCCAUUAUGAAGACAAUGAUUGGUGAGCUUUGGGGCAGUGGGUUUUAUUGCUGAUAGAAUAACUAAUGGAGAAAAUUUUUGCAUUGUGCAUAUCUUUUAUUAAGCCAGGUUAGACAGCUAGGAAGCAGAGGAAUGGAUAUAAGAUGCAACAGAUAAUGAUACUAUG
rnacentral:misc_RNA from 1 species